UACGUAGGGAGCUAGCGUUGUCCGGAAUCAUUGGGCGUAAAGCGCGUGUAGGCGGUCCGGUAAGUCCGCUGUGAAAGUCAAAGGCUCAACCUUUGAAAGCCGAUGGAUACUGCAGGGCUAGAGUCCGGAAGAGGCGAGUGGAAUUCCUGGUGUAGCGGUGGAAUGCGCAGAUAUCAGGAGGAACACCAAUAGCGAAGGCAGCUCGCUGGGACGGUACUGACGCUAAGGCGCGAAAGCAUGGGUAGCGAACAGG
rnacentral:rRNA from 1 species